rnacentral:rRNA from 1 species
UACGUAGGGGGCAAGCGUUGUCCGGAUUUAUUGGGCGUAAAGAGCGUGUAGGCGGUCAGGUAGGUCCGUUGUGAAAACUCGAGGCUCAACCUCGAGACGCCGAUGGAGACCAUCUGACUAGAGUCCGGAAGAGGAGAGUGGAAUUCCUGGUGUAGCGGUGAAAUGCGCAGAUAUCAGGAAGAACACCCGUGGCUAAGGCGGCUCUCUGGGCAUUACCUGACGCUGAGGAGCGAAAGUGUGGGGAGCGAACAGG